ACGGGUGAGUAAUACAUCGGAACGUGCCCGAUCGUGGGGGAUAACGGAGCGAAAGCUUUGCUAAUACCGCAUACGAUCUACGGAUGAAAGCAGGGGACCGCAAGGCCUUGCGCGGACGGAGCGGCCGAUGGCAGAUUAGGUAGUUGGUGGGAUAAAAGCUUACCAAGCCGACGAUCUGUAGCUGGUCUGAGAGGACGACCAGCCACACUGGGACUGAGACACGGCCCAGACUCCUACGGGAGGCAGCAGUGGGGAAUUUUGGACAAUGGGCGAAAGCCUGAUCCAGCCAUGCCGCGUGCAGGAUGAAGGCCUUCGGGUUGUAAACUGCUUUUGUACGGAACGAAAAGACUCUUUCUAAUAAAGAGGGUCCAUGACGGUACCGUAAGAAUAAGCACCGGCUAACUACGUGCCAGCAGCCGCGGUAAUACGUAGGGUGCGAGCGUUAAUCGGAAUUACUGGGCGUAAAGCGUGCGCAGGCGGUUAUGCAAGACAGAUGUGAAAUCCCCGGGCUCAACCUGGGAACUGCAUUUGUGACUGCAUAGCUAGAGUACGGUAGAGGGGGAUGGAAUUCCGCGUGUAGCAGUGAA
rnacentral:rRNA from 1 species